GCUGCUUCUUUGGCUUCACGAUGUGUUUUAGCUUCAUUGUUUAAGCGUGCAAUUGUUGCUACCGAGUGUGGUGCAUCAUGUGGCAUUUCUUUGCCGUCAUCAUGAAUAUAGAUCGGCUUAUCACCGUCUACUUCCGCAUAAACUUUACCGUCGAUUGUUACUGUUUUAAGUUUCAUUGGUCAUCCAACCUAUAUAUACAAAAUGGGCAUCCGCCCGGAUUCGCCGUUAGCAUCCGCUUUCGGCAGGCAAUAAAAAAGCGCCCUUUAGGACGCUUCAUUUCUAUAAAUGAUUAUUUACUUAAAGCUUGGCGUACAAAUGCAUCUUUUGCUUCAAGUAGCUUUCUUAAUCCUGUGGAUUUUUCAGGCCCGUCAGGAAGUUGCUCAUCCAUUUGCCGAGCUAAAUCACCAAUUGGCUUACUAACUUGCUGCAAAUGUUCAGGUAAAUGUUCAUAUUGGAAAUAUUGGAUAAUAGGGCUUGGCAU
rnacentral:rRNA from 1 species